GCCCAGGACAGUGUAGUGGUUUAUCACGACAGUAAUUGAAUGCUGCCUGGGCCUGGUCUACCCAGGCAUCAACCAGGCAGUAUUCGGUUACACGGAGACCUGGGUUCGACUCCCAGUCCUGGCC
rnacentral:tRNA from 1 species